CACCGGCAGACCCGCCCGCCGCCGCCAUCGCCGACGACAGCAAGAGUACCCUGGAUUCCUCCCCCCGCAACCCCUCGCCGGUGGUGCUGACCGGAGACAAAGAGGACCGCCAUCUCUGCAUCCUGUCCUCCACCUCCUCCUCCAUGCUGCCGUCGCCAGGAGAACUCGGAGCUGAUCCUUUCACACCUUUUCCCUCCUUCACUGAGCAAGACUCGGUCAGCCUCUCGGAAGAUGUGUUUGACGGACACCUGCUGGGCUCCACCGACAGCCAGGUGAAGGAGAAAUCCACCAUGAAAGCCAUCUCGCCACUUUCCUGCCCGGCAACAGCUACAAC